GAAAUGCGAUACUUGGUGUGAAUUGCAGAAUCCCGUGAACCAUCGAGUCUUUGAACGCAAGUUGCGCCCGAAGCCGUUAGGCCGAGGGCACGUCUGCCUGGGCGUCACACGUCGUUGCCCCCCCGACCCCUUCGGAGGUCGGACGGGACGGAUGAUGGCCUUCCCGUGUGCCCCGUCACGCGGUUGGCAUAAAUACCGAGUCCUCGGCGACCGGCGCCGCGGCGAUCGGUGGUUGUCAAACCUCGGUGCCCUGUCGCGUGCGUGAGUCGAUCGCGGGACUUCCUUAACCGUAAGCGCGUCGGUAACCCGACGCUUUCAACGCGACCCCAGGUCAGGCGGGGCUACCCGCUGAGUUUAA
rnacentral:misc_RNA from 1 species